CAUGCAAGUCGAACGAGAAAUCUACUGAAAGAGUUUUCGGACAAUGGAUGUAGAGGAAAGUGGCGGACGGGUGAGUAACGCGUGAGGAACCUGCCUUGAAGAGGGGGACAACAGUUGGAAACGACUGCUAAUACCGCAUGACGCAUAGAGGUCGCAUGAUCUUUAUGCCAAAGAUUUAUCGCUUCAAGAUGGCCUCGCGUCUGAUUAGCUAGUUGGCGGGGUAACGGCCCACCAAGGCGACGAUCAGUAGCCGGACUGAGAGGUUGAACGGCCACAUUGGGACUGAGAUACGGCCCAGACUCCUACGGGAGGCAGCAGUGGGGAAUAUUGGGCAAUGGGCGCAAGCCUGACCCAGCAACGCCGCGUGAAGGAAGAAGGCUUUCGGGUUGUAAACUUCUUUUAAGAGGGAAGAGCAGAAGACGGUACCUCUAGAAUAAGCCACGGCUAACUACGUGCCAGCAGCCGCGGUAAUACGUAGGUGGCAAGCGUUGUCCGGAUUUACUGGGUGUAAAGGGCGUGCAGCCGGGUCUGCAAGUCAGAUGUGAAAUCCAUGGGCUCAACCCAUGAACUGCAUUUGAAACUGUAGAUCUUGAGUGUCGGAGGGGCAAUCGGAAUUCCUAGUGUAGCGGUGAAAUGCGUAGAUAUUAGGAGGAACACCAGUGGCGAAGGCGGAUUGCUGGACGAUAACUGACGGUGAGGCGCGAAAGUGUGGGGAGCAAACAGGAUUAGAUACCCUGGUAGUCCACACUGUAAACGAUGAAUACUAGGUGUGCGGGGAACUGACCCCCUGCGUGCCGCAGUAAACACAAUAAGUUUUCCCACCUGGGGAGUACGAUCGCAAGGUUGAAACUCAAAG
rnacentral:rRNA from 1 species